UGGGACAGCAUGGGAUGGGACCCUGUGGCACGAGGCUGCACCAAAGCACAUCACUGUGGGUGCCCUGCACAGGCACCCCUGCAGCAACUUGUGAGUGGGGCUGCACAUGGAAUGGGAAGGACAACAGAAACCCCUCUCCUGAGCUGGAUUGUCAGGAAUGGGCAGUUGGCAAGGGACAAGUACCCCAAAAUGCCUCAAAAUCACCCCGUAUUUCAGGUGCUGUUGAGAUAAAUCACAGCAUUUCUGCUCAGUUUGGGCUGAAUCUCUUAAAGUGCUGAUUAAAUCCAGACAGGGAGAUGAGUAGAUCUGUGGAUAGGAAGGCUUCAUUUUUACGUGAUUCAUUUUUAGAGAAUAAAUGAGCUUUAAAGCAUCUUUAAAUCAUCUAUAACCAAUAGCUUGGGAGUAUUUCUAGUGCUUUUAUUCAUGUACAGCAAUCUUAUAAACAAAUAAACAUGUUCAAAAUUUGAAUAAGCAAAAUAAGAGAAAAAACAGUCUGUUGACAGUCUCCCUCUUCCAUCUGUAUAGUUAUUUGUGGUUUGUUACAAUGUAUAUAGCUGCCAAGGGAAAAAUCGAGACAAUUAGGGAAAAAAAAUAAAGAAAAGGGAAGAAAAUAUUUGAAGGAAGAUGUUAUUUAAUCUACCUUUUCACAUUACAACAAAUGUGACUGUUAAUUUUCAGUAUCUCCAUUCUCAGGCUUAGGACCUGAAGUUUGCAUGGAGUUGCUGUAAAGACAAGGCUAAUUUGGAAAAUCCUGAUACACUCUUGGGUUCAGAUUUCAGAAGUGUAUCUGCAUUAUUAUGUUCCUAAAUAUAUAGGGUUCUAUCUCACUUGUAAUUUUUUCCUGAAUUGCUAAUAUAAACUCCAGUCUGAAGAGUUGGCUGUCCCACUAAUAUUUCUGGUUUGCUGUGUUCAUAGUUCCUACCACUGGUUCUCCACAAGUGUCUUAAAAGGAAUUAGACAGAAAGAAAUGUCCCACAACCACAAGAGGUUGUCAAAUAAUGUAUCAAGCCUUCAUAAUGAAGGGAACUGUGCAAGAAUAGAUUUCAAAAUUAGCCUAUCUGGAUCAAAGGCAAACCCGAGUCUCAUAGCUCAGUGAAAAUAGUGUAGAUAGCUUAGAUAUCCUGCACAAAGUGUUUUAUUUUACUUUUCUCUGCCUAUGACAUAACAUUUGAUAAAUAAUUUGCUUGGUAAUGCUUGUGAAAUUGUUUAACAUAUACACCUUUCAUUCUUUUGCUAGCUGUGGUCGAGCAACACCUUUUGUGGCAGCAAAUAUUGCCAGUGACACAGAACACUGUGCUGUGGGAUGGUAGGGCACCACUCAGAUAAGCCAAGAUAGAAUUAAUCUCUCUUGCCCAUCUUUUCAUGGCAGACACUAACCUGACCUGCCUGUCUGAGCUCUGGCAUCCUGCCCGUAGGUUUGUGUGCACAUGAGCUCAGUGUACAGGGCUGGCCAGAAACCCUCCACUGAGACAGUGCUGGUGAGGCUCCCCAGUGCAUCAGAGAGCACCUGCACCUGUGGUACAACCUGUAAUUAUGGUAUUUUCAAAUGCUCAGCCACAGCCUUUGGAUUCACAGAGUUGGAGAGCAAAGAGUCUCUGUCCCACAGGUUGUCACAGAAGUGUUGCCACAGCCCUGCUUCCCAGGCUACAGGUCACCAGUUUGUCACUUGACUUUAAGUGCUGAUUGCUGUUCUUAAUUAUUUGAUCAAUUGAUAGCUGGCAUAAGGCUAGACUACUUAAGCAUUUACUAGACUAACUUAAGCAUUCCUCUUUCAGUAUACCCAGGACUGGUUGCCUCCAUUUUAUACCUGAGGAGGUAUAAAGAGCAGUGGGAAGGUGCAGAGAAACAGCUGUACCACACAGCAGUACAAGCACCUCGAUAUACAGAGGUGUGGCAAUAAACAGGCUGCAGAUCUGGUUCUCUCAUGUUUUAGCUGUAAACAGCUUUAAUUCAGUUUUGCUAUUGUUGUGUAACUUCAGUAUUUGCAUAUCAUAGUAUUUCUGCUACACACCUUAUGAAACAUGGGCAGGCUCUUUGUUUCCCAAAAGAGACUGAUAAUCAACAAAAUAAACCAAAUUGGUUUUUAAAGGUUUUGUAACUCAAAGGCUUUCUGUGCAAAUGCAAGACCAUAAGCCACUUACUCAACCUCAUAUGCCCUCACAGCACGCACUGUGAUCAAUCAUUAGUGUGAAAUACUUUUUGCCUAUUUUAUAUGCAUAUAUAUAUGUAUUCAUAGAGGUUUUAAAUUUAAAAUACACUGUUCUUUUUUAAAAUGCCAAACACUCAAGAAAUACCUGCCUGUCCCAGUGAUUCUGUGUUGCCCCUGCUGCCCACCAUGAUCCUUUUGACUGGGCAGGCUGGUUGCUGCAGAAGGGCACAUGUGGCACAGCCCCUCUGCAAUUUCAGGGGGACGUGCCCAGCAAAACUGACCCUGCAGGGGGGCACAAGCACUGGACCCUGGCCUGGAGAAGGAAUAAAGCUGCUCUCUUGUCUGCAAACCUGGAGUAUCUUCUCAGCAUGCAGGAAAGUCAAGGUGAGAAUAAAGGAACUGACAAUGUUGCAUGGAAUAUUUUGCAAAAAAAAGACCAUGGAAGAAUUUCUGCACAGCAAAUAGGGAUAAUCUGUGCAGUUGUAUCCCCAGCCACUCACCAACUUGUCCUCCUCUUACUGUCAAAAGAUGGGAAGAAACAGAGAAAUGGGAGCAAAGAGAGUUUGCAGGAAAAAGGGAGAAGAAGGAAUAAGACAACUGAAGAUACAGUCUCCACAGGCUACACCGUGGAGAUAAAAAUGAAAGGCAUAAACUGAAGUGACUUAGCCAAGCAGUACAAAAACACAAACCAAACCAACACCCGAGAGGAAGUUGCGCCCUCUCUGUUACCAAACUAUGAGAGGUGAGGCAAAAACUUUAAUAAAGGAAUAGGUCUGCUGCAACAAAGGAAAUAACAGCAAAAACAGAGACAAGGACACAUCCUAACCCCACUAAUAUCAGCAGGAAUUUACCUUCAUCUUCAGUGGGAGCAGAACUUCAAAGACAUGGGAAUCACCCAUAAAACCUGAAGGAUUUUCUAAGCUUGAGAGACCAGUUUUCAAAAGCUCUUUAGAAGAGUUAUUAUGUUACAAGCAUUACUCCGACAUAAGAAACUGAAAGGAUGAUCAGAAAUACUCAGGGAGAAUAAGGCACAAAGGGAUGUAUCAGAGUUACCAUGAAGUAUCUGUGAAGAAAGAAACUGAGGACAGGACAGAUCUCCUGAAUCCCAUAUUGGAAGUACUGCACAUUUCCAUGGGAGGCUGAAUUGCAAAGGCCACGGCCAGAUGCAUUGUCAGCUGAUGGAUACAAUCCCAGUACUGGACUGAAUGCUGUAAUUUCUUUCCAGGUGUAUUUAAAACUCUUCUGGUUCAAUAAGAAAGCAGGGCUUGAAGCCUAACUCUCUCCUGCCAAAGGGAACAAAGAUUGUCUCCAGCAUCAGUCUGUGUUGGGUAAAGUACCAAACUUGUUGAACCAUGCAGACCAAGCAAAAGAGAUCCUGUGAUAAAAGGUCUAAACUUAAGAGCAGAUUUCACUAUGAGUUUAAUUUCUUUGCUCAAUCAAACCCUGUGCACCAGACAGGAUUGGCUCUGACAAGCUUCUACAGAAAAAUGAUACCAAAGAGACUGAAAUCUAGGCCACAGCUACAAAUAAUUCUUCGGAAGCUCUCUGGAUUUCCUGGAGGGCAAGGUGUGGCUCCGUGUGUGGGAGGACAGUUCUUUGGAAAAGGAUAGUGAUCUCAGAAGCAGCACAAGGAAUUCAGCAAAAUACCAGGCUGGAAACAGUAGAUGCUUCUUCAGUACUUUGCCAUGGGUAGCUAUUGGAUAAACUUCUGAGAAAGUGUAAUGUAUCGAAUUACAAUUUUGUUGUUCAAAGAAUUUCUAUUUGGGGAAGUAUUCCUGUUUUCUCCACUAGGCACUUGAAACUCCAGCAACCUCCAUUAUAUUUUUUUCCCCAGCUAAUAUACAAUUAAUGCAUUAUCUAGUAGUUAUAAUCUACUAACUAACCAGAAGUGCUGACAGACACAAGUAAAUCAAACACCCAGUAUCAAUCAGGCUGAUCUGGUUAUCAGUUUAAGAUAAUGGCCAGCUGUGCCAUCUUGCUAAAUCCUGUGGGAAGAAGUUACUGUAAUGUCGGUUGUAACUACAUGGUUACUACUGUGUUGACAUCUGUACAUAAAGCAACUGUGAAAUAAUUUUUUAAACUCUAAUGAGUUUAAAACUCAACAGUCAUAUGUAGCAGACUAGGGAAUUUCCAUAAUUUUUAAAUAAUACAUUUGCAAGGUUUUUUUGCAACAAUAUCAUGUAAAAUGCCUUCUUUUUAAAAAUGCUCUCCUUUGCUUCAUUUUUCCUGAGAUUAAUUAAGUCUUGCUCUGUCAGGCUUCCAAAAGCUUUGCUUCUUUUUCUUUCUCACAUGCACAUACACACACGUUCUGAUGUUUGACACAGACAUUUGAAUGCAUCACUGAUUACUGCCCUUUGCAUGGUACAGCAAGAGGGUACACCAGACUGAACUGCUGCACCUUCAAGAAGGGCAGGAUGGGAGACCCAGAGAACUACAGGUCUGCCAGCCUCACCCCUUUCCCCAGGAUGACUCUGGAGCAAAUACUCCUGGAAGACAUUUCCUAGCACCUGAGAUACACAAAGGUGAGUGAGAACAGAUGGUGUAAUGUGGCUUUACUAAGGGCAAACCUUUGAUGGGAAGACUGGCUCAACAGAGGAGGAAGAGCAGUGGUUGCUAUUUACCUUGACUUUAGGGAGGCCUUCAGCAUGGACUCCCCCAGUGCCCUUACAGUCAAUUUGGAGAAAUAUGCAGUGGAAAAAUGUACAAGGUGGAUGGAUGGGCUGUGCAGUAAAAUGGGUGUUGAUCAGCAGUUCUAAGUUCACACAAAAAGGUGGCUGGUUACUACUGGUGUCCCUCAGGGACCCAUACAGAGGCCAAAACUCUUACUGUCCUUAUUAAUGGCCUAGACAAGGUAACAGAGUGCACUCAGCACAUUUAGGAAUGAUACCUUUGCGGGACACGGAUGUCAAUAGUCUGGAAGAUAAAGCUGCCAUUCAGAGGGGCCUUUGUUGUUUUUUUUUUUUAACAUUGUUUUGUUUCUUAAGCCUAGGACUUUUUACACAAAAGCAUGAAGAUUGUAAAGAUAUUCUCUAAAGCAAAAGCAUUAAAGAAUGAAAA